rnacentral:rRNA from 1 species
AUUGAACGCUGGCGGCAUGCUUUACACAUGCAAGUCGAACGGCAGCACGGACUUCGGUCUGGUGGCGAGUGGCGAACGGGUGAGUAAUACAUCGGAACGUACCCAGUAAUGGGGGAUAACUAUCCGAGAGGAUAGCUAAUACCGCAUACGCCCUACGGGGGAAAGAGGGGGAUCGCAAGACCUCUUGUUAUUGGAGCGGCCGAUGGCUGAUUAGCUAGUUGGCGGGGUAAAGGCCUACCAAGGCAACGAUCAGUAGCGGGUCUUAGAGGACGAUCCGCCACACUGGAACUGAGACACGGUCCAGACUCCUACGGGAGGCAGCAGUGGGGAAUCUUGGACAAUGGGCGCAAGCCUGAUCCAGCAAUGCCGCGUGCGUGAAGAAGGCCUUCGGGUUGUAAAGCGCUUUUGUCAGGGAGCAAAUCCUUGUGGCUAAUACCCACCGGGGAUGAGAGUACCUGAAGAAUAAGGACCGGCUAACUACGUGCCAGCCGCCGCCGUAA